rnacentral:rRNA from 1 species
CCUACGGCGGCUGCAGUGGGGAAUAUUGCACAACGGGGGAAACCCUGAUGCAGCGACGCCGCGUGAGUGGAGAAGUAUUUCGGUAUGUAAAGCUCUAUCAGCAGGGAAGAAAAUGACGGUACCUGAUUAAGAAGCGCCGGCUAACUACGUGCCAGCAGCCGCGGUAAUACGUAGGGGGCAAGCGUUAUCCGGGUUUACUGGGUGUAAAGGGGGCGUAGACGGCAGCACAAGGCUGGAGUGAAAUGCCCGGGCUUAAACCCGGAACUGCUUUGGAAACUGGGCAGCUUGAGUGCAGGAGAGGUAAGUGGAAUUCCUAGUGUAGCGGUGAAAUGCGUAGAUAUUAGGAGGAACACCAGUGGCGAAGGCGGCUUACUGGACUGUAACUGACGUUGAGGCUCGAAAGCGUGGGGAGCAAACAGGAUUAGAUACCCGGGUAGUC